AUUGCCUCAACGCUGACAAGGUUUCAACACGAUGCAUUUUGCAGUGCUGCUCGCGCUGUUCAGCGUCGCCGCUGCCGAGGUAGCGGGACCAUGUGACGAGGCUGACUGCGCGCUGCCGACCUGUGCGUGUUCCUCCACAGCCACGCCCGGCGGUCUCGCCGUCGCCAGCAUACCGCACUUCGUCGUCUUCUCCUUCGAUGAUGGCGUCACUGUCACCAACAUCCCCUUCUACCGGGAGCUGCAGAAGAGAACGAACCCUAACGGGUGUGGCAUCGAGAUGACGUUCUUCGUGAGCCACGAGAACAGCGACUAUACUCUCGUCAACGAGCUCUACAGGAACGGCCAUGAGAUCGCCGUUCACUCAGUCACGCACAAGUCUGACGUCGGGGAAUACUGGCGUAAACUCAACCAGUCGCAAUGGCUGGCAGAGAUAGAACAACAGAGGGAAAUGUUGAAUACUUACGGCAAAAUUCCCGUGGAGAAAAUAAAGGGUUUCCGAGCCCCGUUCCUCGAGGUAGGCGGAGACUCGAUGUUCGGCGCCCUGAAGGAGGCAGGCUUCGACUACGACUGUUCGUGGCCAUCUUUGCAGUACACUCCAUGGUUCCGGCAGCCUGACGGCAGCUACAAGGGCGCUCUUUGGCCUUACACUCUCGACUACGCCAGCAUCCAGGACCAAACUGUUGGCGUAAAACCAACCGAGUCCUUCCCGGGGUUGUGGGUCUCUCCUAUGACAGACCUACAGGACAACAGAGGCUUCGAGUGCUCCAUGCUCGAUGCCUGCCAGAGCUCACCGGAAGGCGAGCUCGAGACGAGCUCGGAAGCGGUGUUCGAUCUGUUGAAGCGCAACUUCCGCAGCCACUACAACACCAGAACGCCCUUCGGUAUCUACACCCAUCACUCAUGGUUCUACAAUGAGACUCGCAAGGAUGGACUGAGGCAGUUCUUGGAUUACCUGAAAGCGUUCCCUCACGUCUACGUCGUGUCGGUGCGUCAACUUCUCGACUGGGUGCGCUCGCCUGUCCCGCUGAGCCAACUUGGUACGAUGAGUUCCUUCCAGUGUGGCCAAACCUUAGCCGACAACUGCCCCGAUAAGAAAAACUGCCAGUACAAUGCUCCCUUGCCUAUCUCAAACUCAGAGAUCUACAUGAAAAUUUGUAACAGCAACUGCCCGCCUAACUACCCGUACCUCGAUAACGUGGAUGGAAGCAAGCCAUACUCGUAAUAUGCGAACGGAAACUUCAACUUGGCCUCAAAUUAUGAAAUUCAUCUCGACUGGAUAACUUUCCUUAUAACUUUCCUACUCAUUUAUAACGUUUAAUAUCUUAUAUUUCCUUCAAACUCUGCCUUAGAAGUAUGUCUCUCAUGAAAUCUUAUCGGCAGAAAACUUGAAUGUACUCUGUCAAUAAGAAACCUUCACUUAGUUUCACACUUUCCUCCUUCUUCCACAUCUUCUUUCGCACACAUC
rnacentral:misc_RNA from 1 species